ensembl:misc_RNA Metazoa_SRP Metazoan signal recognition particle RNA
GCCAGGUGUGGUGGCGCAUGCCUGUAAUCCCAGCUACUCGGGAGGCUGAGGCAGGAGAAUCACUUGAACCCAGGAGGUGGAGGUUGCAAUGGGCCCAGAUCGUGCCACUGCACUCCAGCCUGGGAGAUGGAGUGAGAGUCCAUCUCAAAAAAAAAUUUUUUUAAACAAAGAUGCGCCAGGCGCAGUGGCUCACGCCUGUAAUCCCAGCACUUUGGGAGGCCGAGGCAGGCGGAUCACGAGGUCAGGAGAUCAAGACCAUCCUGGCUAACACAGUGAAACCCCUUCUCU